GACGAACGCUGGCGGCGUGCUUAACACAUGCAAGUCGAACGGAAAGGCCCUGCUUUUGUGGGGUGCUCGAGUGGCGAACGGGUGAGUAACACGUGAGUAACCUGCCCUUGACUUUGGGAUAACUUCAGGAAACUGGGGCUAAUACCGGAUAGGAGCUCCUGCUGCAUGGUGGGGGUUGGAAAGUUUCGGCGGCUGGGGAUGGACUCGCGGCUUAUCAGCUUGUUGGUGGGGUAGUGGCUUACCAAGGCUUUGACGGGUAGCCGGCCUGAGAGGGUGACCGGCCACAUUGGGACUGAGAUACGGCCCAGACUCCUACGGGAGGCAGCAGUGGGGAAUAUUGCACAAUGGGCGGAAGCCUGAUGCAGCAACGCCGCGUGCGGGGUGACGGCCUUCGGGUUGUAAACCGCUUUCGCCUGUGACGAAGCGUGAGUGACGGUAAUGGGUAAAGAAGCACCGGCUAACUACGUG
rnacentral:rRNA from 1 species